GCUGGAUCAAAUAGUGGUUCCAUUUCAAGUUUUCUGAGGAAUCUCCACACUGCUUUUCAAAGUGGUUGCACCAAUUUGCAGUUCCACCAGCAAUGUAUGAGUGUACCUUUUCCCCCACAUCCUCUCCAACACUUAUUAUUGCUUGUAUUCUUGAUAACUGCCAUUCUGACUGGGGUGAGAUGAAAUCAUAGAGUAGUUUUGAUUUUAAUUUUUCUAAUUACUAAAGAUGUUGAACACACAUC
rnacentral:lncRNA from 1 species